rnacentral:rRNA from 1 species
UACGUAGGUGGCAAGCGUUGUCCGGAAUCAUUGGGUUUAAAGGGUCCGUAGGUGGACGAUUAAGUCAGGGGUGAAAGUCUGCAGCUCAACUGUAGAAUUGCCCUUGAUACUGGUUGUCUUGAAUCGUUGUGAAGUGGUUAGAAUAUGUAGUGUAGCGGUGAAAUGCAUAGAUAUUACAUAGAAUACCAAUUGCGAAGGCAGAUCACUAACAAUGUAUUGACACUGAUGGACGAAAGCGUGGGUAGCGAACAGG